rnacentral:rRNA from 1 species
AUGCCUCACGGGGUGGAGGAGAGGCCGGCCAUAGGGAAAAGCAGCAUCUUCAUGGAUGAGAUCCUGACGGCUGAAGAUGGUCCGCAUGGGAGGAGCUUCGAAGUUGUCAAGGGGCGCCACGAGGAGUGGAGGAUCAAGGUCGUGGGUUGCCAGCUUCAAAUUUUGGGUCUUUGCAAGGAGUUGAAGGCUGAGGUCAUGGUUGCCGGCUUCAAUUUUUUGCUAAGCAAUUCCUCAAGAGUCUUGCCAAGAUCUGAGGAUGAAGGGAAGAAUAAGAAUUUAACUAAACAGUUGAAGAAGAUCAAGGACCUACUAUGA